AUGACUAAGAUACACAAAAGUAUUUUUUGCAAAAGACCUUUGCGUUUCAUUGUAUUGAAAAGAGAGAGUGUUUUAUGUUACAGCCCUCCUAGGAGGCGAAUUACAGUCUGGGGACAUGAGCUAAUGCACAUCCCAGGUCGGAGGCAAGACUACUCUAAGUCCAGCAGCGCCUGCCACAGCCCAAAGUUUGGCCUCCUCCUUGAUGCCGUGAACCAGCGUUCGGAUGGAUGGGCGCGCGUCGUUGAAGAUGCAAUCGUUUCGGUGCUUCCAGAUCAUCCAGGAUGUAAGAAGUGUCACGGAUGCCAGCCCUUUGCGCAUCGCCUUGGGCGUGACUUGCCGGGCAUCAUGCCACCAAUCAAAGAGGGUAGCCUCAUUGUUCGGGGGCCUGCAAGUCAUGCGCAUCCAAGCGAGGAUCUCGAACCAGACGUGCCUCGAGAAGGGGCACCCAAGGAGGAGAUGGCGCAAUGUUUCAGGCUCCUGGCUGCAAAGGGGGCAGCUGUUGUGGUGUUGCAGUCCAUGCCGGGCGAGGCGGUCCACCGUCCAGCAUCGAUCCAAGCUGACAAGCCAGAGGAAGAAUUUCACUCCGGGUAG
rnacentral:rRNA from 1 species